UGACCUCGGACCGCGCUG
rnacentral:rRNA from 1 species